CUUUACCUUUGAGUUUUUGGUUUCUGGGGUAGGUAGCUUAGAAGAGAAGAAAAGGGGCUUGGGAGAUGGGAUCUGUUGAAUUUGCAAAAAGCAAAGGAGAAGAAGAGAGAAAUGAUGUGGGUGCUGAGGUUUCAUUGGUAAAAGAUGGAUUAAAUGUAGAUUAUAAUCUCGUGGAAUGUUAAUUAGAAAAAAUUAGCUAUAUUUUUAGGGGAGCAGGUGGAGACUUGAAUGCUAUUGCGUACAGUAUUAUCUUUAAUUCUUUGCUUCAUUAUCUUUAAGGACAUUUUGUUUUGUUCUGAAGUCAAUUGCAAUGGAAAUCCUAGAAUAGAGUUCUACUUUUUGGCUGGCUAUUCGUUGAUUUCAUUUAGAUAGGAAUUUCCAAUUUUGAGUUCAAGAAAUUACCUGUACAUUAAGUCUGAUGCUUCCAAAUAGUGGUACUGAACAGGAAAUCUGACUGACACUUUUUUUCCCCAAUUCUAUUUCUAGAAAACCAAAAAAGAGUGCAAGUGUAUUCUCUGGAUUGUGUCUCUGGAAUUCAAAAUGGAUGCAUCUUGAUGGAUAAUAUAUAGAUAUACUCCCUUUAGUUUUCUUGUAAAUUUUGGACUUGUAAUAGUUGAGGCAAGGGAGAAUUUGAUCUUGCAACCUUGUCUUCAAUGAGGAGUGUGGUCAAUUAGGCUAUGCACUCUUAGUUUAUCUUAUGUAAAUAAUGGCUAGAUUGGAAUUUUGGCCUUUGGGUUCCAUGGGCGGCAUAGAUUCUGAAGGAUUAUAAUGAAUGAAUUUACAUGAAAAAGAAUGUUAUUAGUUCCCAUUUAAUGAAACAGACAAGAUUUCUAACUUGCAGUGAGUUACACGAUUCCUAUAUCCCUGAAAAGGGGUAGAUCAUCUUAUAUUUAGUCUGAAGGUUGGCACAGUUAAUUGUAUUUGGAAUUUUAGAAAGCAAAGGUUAGGAGUUGUAUUCAAUAGUGAUCUUGUUUCUCUGUCUUGUUUGAUCCCUCCCCUUGUCACUCUUAAUGUCAAAAAGAAAAAUAUUUAUUGCAUGAUCAAUUUAAGUACUUCCAUUUGGG
rnacentral:misc_RNA from 1 species